rnacentral:rRNA from 1 species
AUUGAACGCUGGCGGCAGGCCUAACACAUGCAAGUCGAGCGGUAGAGAGAAGUUUGCUUCUCUUGAGAGCGGCGGACGGGUGAGUAAUGCCUAGGAAUCUGCCUGGUAGUGGGGGAUAACGUUCGGAAACGGACGCUAAUACCGCAUACGUCCUACGGGAGAAAGCAGGGGACCUUCGGGCCUUGCGCUAUCAGACGAGCCUAGGUCGGAUUAGCUAGUUGGUGAGGUAAUGGCUCACCAAGGCGACGAUCCGUAACUGGUCUGAGAGGAUGAUCAGUCACACUGGAACUGAGACACGGUCCAGACUCCUACGGGAGGCAGCAGUGGGGAAUAUUGGACAAUGGGCGAAAGCCUGAUCCAGCCAUGCCGCGUGUGUGAAGAAGGUCUUCGGAUUGUAAAGCACUUUAAGUUGGGAGGAAGGGUUGUAGAUUAAUACUCUGCAAUUUUGACGUUACCGACAGAAUAAGCACCGGCUAACUCUGUGCCAGCCGCCGCAGUAA